UACAGGGGGUGCAAACGUUGCUCGGAAUUAUUUGGGCGUAAAGCGCGCGUAGGCGGCCGCUUAAGUCGGAUGUGAAAGCCCCUGGCUCAACUGGGGAAGUGCACCCGAAACUGAGUGGCUUGAGUACUAAAGAGGGUCGCGGAAUUCCCGGUGUAGAGGUGAAAUUCGUAGAUAUCGUAAAGGAAGACCAGUGGCGAAGGCGGGUCUCUGGACAGUUCCUGACGCUGAGGCACGAAGGUCAGGGGGGAGCAAACGGG
rnacentral:rRNA from 1 species